rnacentral:rRNA from 1 species
GCGGUGUUUUAGACUAUUUAGAGGAACUUGUCCCGUUAUCGAUAAUCCCCGUUUUAUCUUACUUUUAUUUGUUUACAGUUUGUAUACCUCCGUUAUGAGUUUAUUUUAUUAGAUUGAUAAUUUACUUUAUAUUUUAUAAAAUCUUAUUUCAGGUCAAGGUGCAGCUUAUAUUAAAGUGGUGGUGAGUUACAUUAUUUUUGAGUGGUUGGAUUUGAUUUAUGCAUAUUUUCAAUGAAAUUGGAUUUAAUAGUAAUUUAAUUUAUAAAGGUUAUUUGAUAUAUAGCUCUGAGAUGAGUACACAUCG